AUUGAACGCUGGCGGCAUGCCUUACACAUGCAAGUCGAACGGCAGCACGGGUGCUUGCACCUGGUGGCGAGUGGCGAACGGGUGAGUAAUACAUCGGAACAUGUCCUGUAGUGGGGGAUAGCCCGGCGAAAGCCGGAUUAAUACCGCAUACGAUCUACGGAUGAAAGCGGGGGACCUUCGGGCCUCGCGCUAUAGGGUUGGCCGAUGGCUGAUUAGCUAGUUGGUGGGGUAAAGGCCUACCAAGGCGACGAUCAGUAGCUGGUCUGAGAGGACGACCAGCCACACUGGGAUUGAGACACGGCCCAGACUCCUACGGGAGGCAGCAGUGGGGAAUUUUGGACGAUGGGCGAAAGCCUGAUCCAGCAAUGCCGCGUGUGUGAAGAAGGCUUUCGGGUUGUAAAGCACUUUUGUCCGGAAAGAAAUCCUUGGCCCUAAUACGGUCGGGGGAUGACGGUACCGGAAGAAUAAGCACCGGCUAACUACGUG
rnacentral:rRNA from 1 species